GGCUUUGUAUUCAAUUGAUGAUUUUAGAUUGCAAAUCUAAGGGUGUGGAAUAAUAAUUUUUCACUAAAGCUU
rnacentral:tRNA from 1 species